rnacentral:rRNA from 1 species
GAUGAACGCUAGCGGCAGGCUUAAUACAUGCAAGUCGUGGGGCAGCGCAGGUAGCAAUACUGGGCGGCGACCGGCAAACGGGUGCGGAACACGUACACAACCUUCCGAGAAGUGGGGAAUAGCCCAGAGAAAUUUGGAUUAAUACCCCGUAACAUAACGAUGUGGCAUCACAUUGUUAUUAUAGCUUCGGCGCUUCUUGAUGGGUGUGCGGCUGAUUAGAUAGUUGGCGGGGUAACGGCCCACCAAGUCUACGAUCAGUAGCUGAUGUGAGAGCAUGAUCAGCCACACGGGCACUGAGACACGGGCCCGACUCCUACGGGAGGCAGCAGUAAGGAAUAUUGGUCAAUGGACGCAAGUCUGAACCAGCCAUGCCGCGUGAAGGAUUAAGGUCCUCUGGAUUGUAAACUUCUUUUAUCUGGGACGAAAAAAGGCGAUUCUUCGUCACUUGACGGUACCAGAUGAAUAAGCACCGGCUAACUCCGUGCCAGCAGCCGACGG